CGUCCUUUUCAAUGGCGGUUCGCGAACAGCGCAACAGGCGCAUUCUCGGCACCUUGUGCUGCGGAGUUCUACGUUUCCUCCGACCGCGGCAGAUAUAUUCAAAAAUGUGCCCGAAAAAAGCGAAAGAAAUCAAAAGGCAGGAUCUGUGUCCAGUCCUUCCCAGUAUUUCUCCAUCAGUGUAUUCACAACCAAUCCCUCGCACUCAACUUCCACUGCAAACUGAGGAACGUCAAUCUCUGAAUGAUCGUCCAUGUUGAACACCGUCACGGAUAUGCACAAUCGCAGCACAAUCGCAGGAUUUCUCCAGAUCUCCUCCUGGAGCUGUCGGCGCGGCACCAUCUCCGACAGUUCAUCCUCAUCCCUCCCCUGACCACCAGGUGACGCUCUACCUAAUAUCCAUCUCUUUUUACACGCUUUUCUUUUCUAUCACUUUUGCAGCAUAAGCUUGUGCGUUGGUGCUCUCCAAUUCUCUCCAUCGUUAACAAACGCUCUUCGUUUCUCGUCCAGCAGCUGUUGGCUGUCCGUUCUGUGAAAAACUUUAACCAUUGUUUCACUAAAUGUUAUGGAGGAAUCCUAAGAAAUUUCGAGUGGAUCCUAAGCUUCAUUCAUUAGGCGGUUCAUUCAUACCCAUCCACGAACUGCAACAUAUAUUCAAUGCAGUCUUAAAGUCAAAAGACUGGUCUUCACUUGUUUCCAUUAACUGCACCAGUCACAACAUGUCUUUUGAAAAAGCCUGUUGAUGGUUUAUUCAUUUUAAUCACUACAGAAUUAGGUUUGGGUGCAACACAUGCCACAUGUAAAAAAGAAUACAGUCACUUGUAUGAUGAUUUUUUUUCAUAUUUGAUAUAAACAUUUACUAGACAAAGAAUCUGACAUGGUGACUGGACUGAAAUGUGUAAAUAAAAAUAGACAUUAAUAA